rnacentral:rRNA from 1 species
AACGAACGCUGGCGGCAGGCUUAACACAUGCAAGUCGAACGAGAUCUUCGGAUCUAGUGGCAGACGGGUGAGGAACACGUGGGAACAUCCCUUUCAGUUCGGAAUAACGUUGGGAAACUAACGCUAAUACCGGAUACGUCCUUCGGGAGAAAGAUUUAUCGCUGAAAGAUUGGCCCGCGUCCGAUUAGCUAGUUGGUGAGGUAAUGGCUCACCAAGGCUACGAUCAGUAGCUGAUCUGAGAGGACGAUCAGCCACAUUGGGACUGAGACACGGCCCAAACUCCUACGGGAGGCAGCAGUGGGGAAUAUUGGACAAUGGGCGCAAGCCUGAUCCAGCCAUGCCGCGUGAGUGAUGAAGGCCUUCGGGUUGUAAAGCUCUUUUAUCCGGGAAGAUAAUGACUGUACCGGAAGAAUAAGCCCCGGCAAACUUCGUGCCAGCAGCCGCAGUAA